rnacentral:pre_miRNA from 1 species
GGACUACUUCCUUCGUUCGAGAAAGCUUGUCCCAAGUUUGUCCGUCAAAUAAAUGUAUCUAUCAUCAAAUUAGUGUUAAAUACAUCUAUUUGAGGGACAAGUUUUUUCGGACGAAGGAGUACUUU